AACGAACGCUGGCGGCAUGCCUAACACAUGCAAGUCGAACGAGACCUUCGGGUCUAGUGGCGCACGGGUGCGUAACGCGUGGGAACCUGCCCUUAGGUUCGGAAUAACUCCCCGAAAGGGGUGCUAAUACCGGAUAAUGUCUUCGGACCAAGAUUUAUCGCCUUUGGAUGGGGCCGCGUUGGAUUAGCUAGUUGGUAGGGUAAAAGCCUACCAAGGCGACGAUCCAUAGCUGGUCUGAGAGGAUGAUCAGCCACACUGGGACUGAGACACGGCCCAGACUCCUACGGGAGGCAGCAGUGGGGAAUAUUGGACAAUGGGCGAAAGCCUGAUCCAGCAAUGCCGCGUGAGUGAUGAAGGCCUUAGGGUUGUAAAGCUCUUUUACCCGGGAUGAUAAUGACAGUACCGGGAGAAUAAGCUCCGGCUAACUCCGUG
rnacentral:rRNA from 1 species